GACAUUGCUGUCAACUGGGAGCCCCUCCCUGGCCUGUACUUCCUUAGGGCUGUUCGCAGGUUUGGAAGAUAACAGAAGAAUCUGAGUACUGGAGAAAAAAAAAAAAAAAGACUUGUUUAUAAGGGACCCUGCUUUCCUAGAAGCAUUCCCAGACUCACAUUCCAGGGUAGUGACCUCACAUGUCAGAGUGGCCCUGGUGGCAACUCCAUCUACAAGGAGAUAAUUGAUGGUGAGAACUUCUUCCAGAAGCAGACGGGUCCUGGCAUCUUGUCCAUAGAGAAUGCUGGACCAAACACACAUGCUUCCCAGAUCUUCAUCCAUACUGCCAAGCCCUGGAGGUUGGAUUGAAAGCUUGUGGUCUUUGGGUCCCAGAGCCACAAAACCAGUAAGAAGACGAUAGUUGCUGCCUGCUGACAAUUUGGG
rnacentral:lncRNA from 1 species